rnacentral:rRNA from 1 species
UACGUAGGGGGCGAGCGUUGUCCGGAGUUACUGGGCGUAAAGCGUGCGCAGGCGGCUUCUCAAGUCAGGGGUGAAAGCCCAGAGCUCAACUCUGGAAUUGCCUUUGAGACUGAGUGGCUUGAGUACGAGAGAGGUGAGUGGAAUUCCCGGUGUAGAGGUGAAAUUCGUAGAUAUCGGGAGGAACACCUGUGGCGAAGGCGGCCACCUGGACGACAACUGACGCUGAGACGCGAAAGCGUGGGUAGCAAACAGG